GUUGUUGGAUACCCACAUCCAAGGAAACUGUCAUAAUGGCUAAGUUGGGGUUCAUAUGUCUAGCACUCCUCGUUUUAAUCGCCGCUACCCAUGUUGAGGUCGACGGCUUCAGGUUAAAAAGAAUUGGUAUUGGAUUCAAGAAAAUCAUCAAGGAUGGCAUUCGAUUUCUCUUUGGAAGGCGACAACAACCACAAACGUCUCCUGUUCGUCCUGUGCUUGCUCCUGUUAAUAGUAACACUCCAGUUGGUGUUGAUAAAAUUAAUCCAACCCAAGCUCCUGUUGUUGAUUCUCCUUACAAAAGAACGAUCAUUGCCAUUAAACAAGAGACCAGCUAUGGUCAAUAUUUAUAUCUCCGAGGCGGUGGUCCAGAUGGAAAACCAAUCGACAUCAGACACAGAAUUGCUCCCGAGGACCAAGACAGUUUCUACGCUUCAACAUCACAAGGGGAUGAUCAUUUGGAUUGGGGUAGCAAUGAAAUUAACCAAGGAAGAUACCAAGAUAACAUCACCCCACAAGGUACUCCUAUGAUGUGGACAACAAAUGACGAGAAUUAUGAUUCAGUUGUUGGUCAAGAUGGUGCUGGCUAUUAUAACAUCAAUGUACAAUCUGGUCAUUAUUGGUUAGUUGAUAUUGAUAUGGAUUGUAGCCAGACAACAGACGGUUGGUUCGAAUUCAAGGGUUACUUGACAUGGGAUGGUCAAAUCCCUGUUGAAAAUGGAUGGGAAAAGAAUUUUAAAACCGGAUCUUGUCAAACGGAAGAUGGCCCCCAAAAAUUUGAUAAAGCUGAUCAUAUUUCCAACAAUCACAUUGGACGAUGUGGAGAAUUCAACCUUGUACAUUUUGAAAGUAGCACAUGCAUGAUUCACAGUCUUGCAGAUAUUGAACAAUGGGCAAAAGAUUUCCAUGGCGAUGAAAAAACCGUCGAAGAAUAAUUACAUGUAAUUUAUUGCACAAAUAGAAGCUCCGACAAAAGAAUUCCAUUCUUUACCCAGUUAAUAAAAUGUUGUUAAAUUUAUUAUUCCCGCCUCCAAGU